rnacentral:misc_RNA from 1 species
GAAGAAGAAGAAGAAGAAGAGAAAAAUGUAAGAGAGAGAAAGAGGGAGGUGUAGAUCUGGUUUUUGAAAUUGCGCGAGAGAGAGAGAGGAGUUAAAUGGAGGGCUAAUUUUGGGGGCUAGUGGGAGAAGGGGGGCGGGGGAGGGGGGGGCGCGCGCGGCGAUGAUUGCGUUGGGGAAGAUGGAGGGAUUUUGGAAAGAUGGAAUUUGGACCGUUGGAUUAGAAAAAGGAAGAAAUCGGGUAGGGGGGCUGUUUAGCUGGCCGGUAAAAGGCAGGCUAGCAUGCACAGGGGGUUUGAUACUUUGAUCGAGCUAAAGAGCGAAAAAG